UACGGGGGGAGCAAGCGUUGUUCGGAUUUACUGGGCGUAAAGGGCGCGUAGGCGGUCGUGACAAGUCACUUGUGAAAUCUCCGGGCUUAACUCGGAACGGUCAAGUGAUACUGUCGGACUAGAGUACAGAAGGGGCAACUGGAAUUCUCGGUGUAGCGGUGAAAUGCGUAGAUAUCUGGAGGAAUACCGGUGGCGAAGGCGGCAUCCUGGACCGGCAUUGACGCUGAGGAGCGAAAGCCAGGGGAGCAAACGGG
rnacentral:rRNA from 1 species